rnacentral:rRNA from 1 species
UACGUAGGGACCAAGCGUUGUUCGGAUUUACUGGGCGUAAAGGGCGCGUAGGCGGCGCGGUAAGUCACUUGUGAAAUCUCUGAGCUUAACUCAGAACGGCCAAGUGAUACUGCAGUGCUAGAGUGCAGAAAGGGCAAUCGGAAUUCUUGGUGUAGCGGUGAAAUGCGUAGAUAUCGAGAGGAACACCUGCGGCGAAGGCGGGUUGCUGGGCUGAUACUGACGCUGAUGCGCGAAAGCCAGGGGAGCGAGCGGG